UACGAAGGGUGCAAGCGUUAAUCGGAAUUACUGGGCGUAAAGCGUGCGUAGGCGGUGACUUAAGUCUGCUGUGAAAUCCCCGGGCUCAACCUGGGAAUGGCAGUGGAUACUGGGUCGCUAGAGUGUGAUAGAGGAUGGUGGAAUUCCCGGUGUAGCGGUGAAAUGCGUAGAGAUCGGGAGGAACAUCAGUGGCGAAGGCGGCCAUCUGGAUCAACACUGACGCUGAGGCACGAAAGCGUGGGGAGCAAACAGG
rnacentral:rRNA from 1 species